AUUGAACGCUGGCGGCAGGCCUAACACAUGCAAGUCGAACGAGUGGCGGACGGGUGAGUAAUGUCUGGGAAACUGCCUGAUGGAGGGGGAUAACUACUGGAAACGGUAGCUAAUACCGCAUACCAUCGGAUGUGCCCAGAUGGGAUUAGCUAGGUGGGUGGGUAACGGCUCACCAAGGCGAAGAUCCCUAGCUGGUCUGAGAGGAUGACCAGCCACACUGGAACUGAGACACGGUCCAGACUCCUACGGGAGGCAGCAGUGGGGAAUAUUGCACAAUGGGCGCAAGCCUGAUGCAGCCAUGCCGCGUGUAGGAAGAAGGCCUUCGGGUUGUAAAGUACUUUCAGCGGGGAGGCGUUACCCGCAGAAGAAGCACCGGCUAACUCCGUGCCAGCAGCCGCGGUAAUUC
rnacentral:rRNA from 1 species